CGGGAUAAUGGUUCACUGCUUACAUUUUUCUUUAAAGAAUGCUUCGAAGAAAAUUCUAUGUAGAAUUCUUCGAUACCAGGUAAUGCAUAAAAGUAAGCUAUGCGGAAUAAUGGUUCCCCGCUUACAUUUUUCUUUGAAGAAUGCUUCGAAGAAAAUUCUAUGUAAAAUUCUUCGAUACCAGGUAAUGCAUAAAAGUAAGCUAUGCGGAAUAAUGGUUCCCCGCUUACAUUUUUCUUUGAAGAAUACUUCGAAAAAAAUUCUAUGUAGAAUUCUUCGAUACCAGGUAAUGCAUAAAAGUAAGCUAUGCGGAAUAAUGGUUCCCCGCUUACAUUUUUCUUUGAAGAAUGCUUCGAAGAAAAUUCUAUGUAAAAUUCUUCGAUACCAGGUAAUGCAUAAAAGUAAGCUAUGCGGAAUAAUGGUUCCCCGCUUACAUUUUUCUUUGAAGAAUACUUCGAAAAAAAUUCUAUGUAGAAUUCUUCGAUACCAGGUAAUGCAUAAAAGUAAGCUGUGCGGCUAAAUUCUACUGUGUUCAUAUUUACAAGUCAAGUAAGUACGUGAAAAACGACAAAUACAAAUUGAUGGAAUAAAAUUUAUAAGUAAAUUUUUUCAUUAUUUCGUCAAAUCAUCAAGCAAAAAGUUGGUUACUAUUUGGUAAGUAUUUCGUGUUUUUAACAUUGAAGGACAUAGCUUCAAAUUUAUAAACAUACUCUUUCAACUUUUUUGUAGAAUGUGUGAAAGUUGAAGGCUUCACCAAAUCGGAAUAUAUUCACCAAAUUCAAAAAAUUAUCAAACUCGCCAAACGCAGUUUCUUCAAGUCUCGUUGCUUGAAAAAAAACGGCAAGAGACUCAGCCACAAAAUUAAAAGAAAACCAUAAUGGCUAAAUGAGUAGCGACCAACAUCUCCGCUUUGGCAGCAUCCCGGUUCUUUCCGCUAGUUACCCGUCUGUAUAUAUGUAUAUUUAACGUUUUUAAAAAUGUUUUCAACCUUUGAUCAUUUUAUAUAUACAUACAUACAUAUACAUUUAAUAUGUAUUUAACGUUUUUAAACUAUUUCAAUUUGUAAUAAUUCGGUUCAUUUAAACACAUUUUGUUAUAACAAUUUUUAAGUGCAUUUCGCAUAAAAUAAAACCUUUAUAACGAUUGUAUUGAAUCUAGUGCAUUUUUCUUUUUAACAAAAAGUGUGAGUGGCCUAUAAGGUGAGUUUUUGUACACAUAAUACUUAUUUUCAUACGAAUAUGCAAUUUUUCCUAUUGACCUUGGCAUCAAAGAAUUCUUCGUGAACUAUGGCAUCGAAGAAUUCUUCGUUAACUGUGGCAUCGAAGAAUUCUUCGUUAACUGUGGCAUCGAAGAAUUCAUCGUUAACUGUGGCAUCGAAGAAUUCUUCGUUUACUUUGGCAUCAAAGAAAUCUUCGUUAACUAUGGCAUCGAAGAAUUCAUCGUUAACUGUGGCAUCAAAGAAUUCCUCGUUUACUUUGGCAUCGAAGAAUUCUUCGUCCCAUGGUAAGCGUAAAAGGUGAUCUGUUACUUUUCGUAGGACAUCGCCGUGUUAAUUUUCAUCGGUCGGGGUAAGCGAUACAAUCAUGCUGUAUCGUUUACCUUGCUCGCUUACCAAUGUCUACCAUAUCCCGCUGGG